CAAUAGCGUAUAUUAAAGUUGUUGCGGUUAAAAAGCUCGUAGUUGGAUUUCUGCUGAGAACGACCGGUCCGCCCUUUGGGUGUGUAUCUGGCUCUUUCUUGGCAUCUUCUUGGUGAACGUUGCUGCACUUGACUGUGUGGAGCGCUACCCAGGACUUUUACUUUGAGGAAAUUAGAGUGUUUCAAGCAGGCAUACGCCUUGAAUACAUUAGCAUGGAAUAAUAAGAUAGGACCUCGGUUCUAUUUUGUUGGUUUCUAGAGCUGAGGUAAUGAUUAAUAGGGAUAGUUGGGGGCAUUCGUAUUUAACUGUCAGAGGUGAAAUUCUUGGAUUUGUUAAAGACGAACUACUGCGAAAGCAUUUGCCAAGGAUGUUUNCAUUG
rnacentral:rRNA from 1 species